rnacentral:rRNA from 1 species
GGGCCCGCACAAGCGGUGGAGCAUGUGGUUUAAUUCGAUGAUACGCGAGGAACCUUACCAGGGCUUAAAUGUAGGUUGCAUAAGCUAGAGAUAGCUUUUUCUUCGGACUACUUACAAGGUGCUGCAUGGUUGUCGUCAGCUCGUGCCGUGAGGUGUCAGGUUAAGUCCUAUAACGAGCGCAACCCCUGUUGUUAGUUGCCAUCGAGUCAUGUCGGGAACUCUAACAAGACUGCCAGUGCAAACUGUGAGGAAGGUGGGGAUGACGUCAAAUCAUCACGGCCCUUACGUCCUGGGCUACACACGUGCUACAAUGGUAGGUACAGAGGGCAGCUACCCCGCGAGGGGAUGCGAA